rnacentral:rRNA from 1 species
GUGAACGCUGGCGGUAGGCCUAACACAUGCAAGUCGAACGGCAGCACCGUAAGAGCUUGCUCUUACGGGUGGCGAGUGGCGGACGGGUGAGGAAUACAUCGGAAUCUACUUUUUCGUGGGGGAUAACGUAGGGAAACUUACGCUAAUACCGCAUACGACCUACGGGUGAAAGCAGGGGAUCUUCGGACCUUGCGCGAUUGAAUGAGCCGAUGUCGGAUUAGCUAGUUGGCGGGGUAAAGGCCCACCAAGGCGACGAUCCGUAGCUGGUCUGAGAGGAUGAUCAGCCACACUGGAACUGAGACACGGUCCAGACUCCUACGGGGGGCAGCAGUGGGGAAUAUUGGACAAUGGGCGCAAGCCUGAUCCAGCCAUACCGCGUGGGUGAAGAAGGCCUUCGGGUUGUAAAGCCCUUUUGUUGGGAAAGAAAAGCAGCAGGUUAAUACCCCGCUGUUCUGACGGUACCCAAAGAAUAAGCACCGGCUAACUUCGUG